rnacentral:rRNA from 1 species
GUCUAUAGCCAUACCACACUGAAUGUACCCAAUCUUGGAAACUAAGUGGAGUUGGGCCUAAUUAGUUCUUGGAUGGGAGAAAGGAAAAAAAAAUGAAGACGUUUCUGAUU